GCAGACCUUAUAAGGACAUCCUUUUGCUUUCCCGCCUCUUUCAGACAAUAUAAAACUUUCGGACCUGGAGAAUGGAGGUUGUUGUGUACUGGCCGCCAUUAAACAAUAACGAACCAACUGUUACUCCACAUCUUUGUUUCCCUUGCUCAACGUCGGACAUCUUGAACAAAACGCAACAGUUUUUUUACUGCAUUUUUUUUUGUAUCAUGUUUGCUAACUUGAACGGAUGGGACAUAUCCAGCACAACUUGCAGUGACACGCUGGAAAACAUUUCCGAAUAUCGUGUUAAAAUCUGAGAGGUGAAAUGUUUUAGUGCUGGAAAACAUAAGUGAGCGCGCCGACUCCAUCUGGGCGGGCUGGCAUUAUCAUUAUGGCCUUCUGGAAGGUAACAUUUAUUCGGAAUCCUCCUGGCUAGC